UUUUGUUAGUUGUUUUUAUUUUAUUUUAUUUUUGAGACUUAUAUGUUUCGUUUUUCAUUUAUUAUUUUGUUGGUUGUUUUUUCUAGUUGGUUAUCUCUUUAUCUUAUCUAUUUUUUUAUUAGUUUUCUCGGAAACAUGUACUUCAUUUAGAUUCGCCUACAAUUUCAGUUUUCACUAUUCUAGCGAAUUCAUCCAUAUUCAGGCCAGUUUAUGUUCUCUCCCUCCCUUUUGAUAUUGUACUUAUUCUAUUUAUAUUUGUUUGUACAUUGAGG
rnacentral:lncRNA from 1 species